rnacentral:rRNA from 1 species
CAUGCAAGUCGAACGGUAAGGCCCUUCGGGGUACUCGAGUGGCGAACGGGUGAGUAACACGUGGGUGAUCUGCCCUGCACUUCGGGAUAAGCCUGGGAAACUGGGUCUAAUACCGGAUAUGACCUUGGGAUGCAUGUCCUUUGGUGGAAAGCUUUUGCGGUGUGGGAUGGGCCCGCGGCCUAUCAGCUUGUUGGUGGGGUUAAGGCCUACCAAGGCGACGACGGGUAGCCGGCCUGAGAGGGUGACCGGCCACACUGGGACUGAGAUACGGCCCAGACUCCUACGGGAGGCAGCAGUGGGGAAUAUUGCACAAUGGGCGCAAGCCUGAUGCAGCGACGCCGCGUGAGGGACGACGGCCUUCGGGUUGUAAACCUCUUUCAGCACAGACGAAGCGCAAGUGACGGUAUGUGCAGAAGAAGGACCGGCCAACUACGUGCCAGCAGCCGCGGUAAUACGUAGGGUCCGAGCGUUGUCCGGAAUUACUGGGCGUAAAGAGCUCGUAGGUGGUUUGUCGCGUUGUUCGUGAAAACUCACA